rnacentral:rRNA from 1 species
GAUGAACGCUGGCGGCGUGCUUAACACAUGCAAGUCGAACGGAAAGGCCCCAGCUUGCUGGGGUACUCGAGUGGCGAACGGGUGAGUAACACGUGGGUGAUCUGCCCUGCACUUUGGGAUAAGCUUGGGAAACUGGGUCUAAUACCGAAUAUGACCACUUCUUGGAUGUUGUGGGGGAAAGCUUUUGCGGUGUGGGGUGGGCCUGCGGCCUAUAAGCUUGUUGGUGGGGUAAUGGCCUACCACGGCGGCGACGGGUACCAGGGCUGAGAGGGGGUAGAGACAUAUUGGGCCUGCGAUACGGCCCAGACUCGUACGGGAGGCAGAAGUGGGGAGUAAUGCACAAUGGGCGCAAGCCUGAUGCGGCGACUCCGGGUGGGGUAUGAAGGCCUUAGGGUUGUAAACUCCUUUCGCUAUCGACGAAGCCACUUGUGGUGACGGUAGGUAGAUAAGGAGCACCGGCUAACUACGUGCCAGCCGCCGCAGUAA